rnacentral:rRNA from 1 species
UACGAGGGGGGCGAGCGUUGUUCGGAAUUAUUGGGCGUAAAGGGCGCGUAGGCGGUGCGGUAAGUCUGAUGUGAUAUCUCCGGGCUCAACUCGGAGUCUGCAUCAGAAACUGCCGGGCUUGAGUGUGGGAGAGGUGAGUGGAAUUCCUGGUGUAGCGGUGAAAUGCGUAGAUAUCAGGAGGAACACCUGUGGCGAAAGCGGCUCACUGGACCAUUGCUGACGCUGAGACACGAAAGCGUGGGUAGCAAACAGG